GCGGGGGGGGGGGCAGCCACCUCUGGAGAGCAGUGUGUGUGCAACUUCAGCACGCAUAAGUCACUGGGAGGGCUUGCAAAAGCACGACAGCUCAGCUCACCCGAGUGGCUGCCUAGGUCCACCAGGGUGGGCCAAGUGGCUGCCUCCGCUGAGCCAGAUGCUCCACAGCACCCCCUGGAGGACACCCUGGGCCCUGCACAGAGGCCGCCCUGAACCCCAGCUUCCAGGCCCAGUAGAGUCCAGGCAGGGCAGUCUGACUUGUAGCUCUCAGGACACCAGCAGAACUCAAAGAUGGGUUGAGAUACUGCUUUAAAUUUUUUGUUGAUUUUUGAGACAGGGUCUCUUUAUGGAGUUCGGACUAGCCUUGAACUCACUAUGUAGCCUAGAAUGCCUCCAACUUGCAGCUAUCCUCCUGCCUCAGCCUCCCAAGUGCUGAGAUUACAGGCGUGCACCGCCUGCCCAGUUUGUAUGCUAAUUUUUAAGAGAAAGAACAAAGAAGCUCUGUGUUGUCAGCUUUCCAUUACUGUAGCAAAUACCUGAGUUAAAUCAAUUUAAAGAGAGGAACUGGUGGCAGGCAUGGUGGCACAUCUGUAAUCCCAGUAUUCUGGGAGGCUGAGGCAGGGGGAUCACAAGUUGGAUCCCACUAUGGCAACUUAGCACGACCCUGUUUCAGAAAUUUAAAAAAGGGGGACUGGGCGUGUACUCAGGGCCAAGGUCCUGGGUUGGAUCCCCAGUACCUCCUCACCCCCAUGCACAAGGAAAUGUUUAUUUUGGCUCAUGGUGCUGAGGCUUCAGUCCCUGGGUGGUUAGCACUGCAGCAGCAUGUGGGCAGGGGAUCCCCCCUCCAGGGCUGGGGGGUGGGCUGGAAGGGGACACUGGUGUCCCACAGCCCCUCCUAAGGUGAGACCUGGUGACCUCACCUUCCCACCAGGCUCAAAGGCUCCAGCCCUUCCCCGCAGGGGCAAGGUGGGGACCUCGCCCUUGACAUGCGGCCUUGGGUGCCUGACCCCAGGUGUCAGGUCCCAUGGCAGUGGCCUCCCCUCCACAAGAAGUGGUGCCACGGGUGACCCAAUGUCUCCCCACGAAAGCAGAAGACAUAAAGAAAAGGCUGAGCCCUCAGCCACCAGACCUGAGUGUAGCUGAUUCCUGGUGGCUCCCUCGGGCUCUGUCCUCCUUACCCCUGGGGCACCCGGGCCCUUCUGCGCACCUCGCCCACUUCCCCACGCCCAGCCUCUCUGCCCUCUCUGUGCCUCUUGCUCCUCUGCCCAUGCAGUUAAAAAUAAAAAAUCUCCCUGUGAUGUAGAUAUCACACACACUGCCUUCACCCUCAGGGAGGGCACAGGGGCCUUCAGAGCAGGGCCCGGACUUCAGGACUUCAGCUAGGUGUCGGGCCUGGCACCCAGCUAGGCUCCGCAGAGGCGUGUCAUGAUUGGUCGGGAUCGAAGGCCAUGGGCGGAGCCCUGAGAAGUGGGCGUGGCCUCCACCUGCCUGCAGGUGACUGUGGCUUCAAGGCUUCAAGCUCUCCGUCUGGCCAAGGGCAGAAAUAAGAAAAAGGAGACUUGCUCAAGGGGAAAAGGGUGCUUUGGAGGGAAGAGAGGAUGAGUCCUGCAAGCAGAACCUAUCACUGCGGGAACAAGAGGGCAGUGGCCCAAAAGGCCUUUGCUGCUGUCCUUUCACGUCUUCUCUGAAAGCUGACCCAGGUGGCCCCACUGGCUCUCGCGCUAGAGGCCAAUGUCAAGUGCCAGCUUCGUGCACUCUCCACCGCACGCGCAGUGUCUCUCCCGAGAGGAGGGCGAGGAGCUGGAGCCAGAGAGCAGCUGACUGUCCUCCCAGUCGGCCAGAGGAGCCGCCUGCAUGUCCCAUCUGCACUGCGACCAGAGCUGUGCCCAGCUGGGCCCAGCUGACACCCGGGCUCCUUGGCACCAGAAAUCACGCUUUAAGCUUUAAGCGCUGCUUGGCAUCCAACCUGCUACUCAGCGAAGGACAAAGCACUUCGUUCCCAGCUCUCUUCUGUGCUGUCGCCACUUCCCUCAAAGGGGCCACCUGUGUCCAAGGCCUCACCGCAGGUCCUGUGUUCUCCAGAGAAUGCGACACAACCCAAGGGCGAAGCCGACUGGGGCCAGGCCUCACGGUCGAGGGAACUGGGGACAGUGACUCCCGAGGUCUGCGCUCCCGCAGUCUUCAGAAGCAGAAAUGGACCCAGGUGAGAAAUUUAGCAACUGGCAGCCAGUGUCCUGGCCCGGUGGCCCAUGGCAAAUUCUACUGGGUUUCCAGUCUGCAGGUGGCCUUGCCAAGGCCUGCAGGCAGGGAGGGAGGUGGCCCCUCUCCGAGGCUUGGGGGGCAGGGCGCCUCUGUGCCCACACAACUGCUCCUGCUCCUUCCAGGCAGAGGAAACAGAUUGCCCGUCAGACACAAUGCUUCCUUUGGCUCCUGUUUUCCUCCUCAAAUCAAAUUACCCCACUGACACAAAUUUCAGCAACACUUGCAUUUCAGGUCACAGGGACUUAGUGCUGCAAU